AACGAACGCUGGCGGCAUGCCUAACACAUGCAAGUCGAACGGGAUCCUAGCUUGCUAGGUGAGAGUGGCGGACGGGUGAGUAACACGUGGGAAUCUGCCUUUUGGUUCGGGAUAACCGCGGGAAACUGCGGCUAAUACCGAAUGCCCUCGAGAGAGGAAAGAUUUAUCGCCCAAGGAUGAGCCCGCAUAAGAUUAGCUAGUUGGUGGGGUAAAAGCCUACCAAGGCGACGAUCUUUAGCUGGUCUGAGAGGAUGAUCAGCCACACUGGGACUGAGACACGGCCCAGACUCCUACGGGAGGCAGCAGUGGGGAAUAUUGGACAAUGGGCGAAAGCCUGAUCCAGCAAUGCCGCGUGAGUGAUGAAGGCCUAGGGUUGUAAAGCUCUUUUACCCGAGAUGAUAAUGACAGUAUCGGGAGAAUAAGACUCCGGCUAACUCCGUGCCAGCAGCCG
rnacentral:rRNA from 1 species